rnacentral:tRNA from 2 species
GCCCUCGUAGUUGAAUGGAUACAAUGCCUCCCUCCGAAGGAGGCGGUACAGGUUCGAUUCCUGUCGAGGGCACAA